rnacentral:rRNA from 1 species
GUGCCAGCCGCCGCGGUAAUACGAAGGGGGCUAGCGUUGCUCGGAAUUACUGGGCGUAAAGGGAGCGUAGGCGGACAUUUAAGUCAGAGGUGAAAUCCCGGAGCUUAACUUCGGAACUGCCUUUGAUACUGGGUGUCUUGAGUGUGAGAGAGGUAUGUGGAACUCCGAGUGUAGAGGUGAAAUUCGUAGAUAUUCGGAAGAACACCAGUGGCGAAGGCGACAUACUGGCUCAUUACUGACGCUGAGGCUCGAAAGCGUGGGGAGCAAACAGGAUUAGAAACCCUGGUAGUCC